ACCCCUAAUGUGAUUAUUCCUUCUUAUAUGAUUCUAUUGAGUCGUAUAGGAACGCUUUCCUUUAUUACACUCGAUACUUCGACCGAAGAUUCCCGAAUCAUAUCUUAGAGUAUUCUUCCUCUCUAAUCGAGGAUUACAGAUUCCUUGUUGCGCAUUCACUUGCCUUCAUGACUAAGUGGCUUAACCUCAAUUAUGCCGUGGACAUCCGCGAAUGGGGUGAUUUUGACAUAAUCAAAGAUUAAGUACUUAGCCACAAGACAACGAUGAUGCCUCAGGUCAAAGGACUACUUACAUUAUUCCAACCAUUAGAGUUACUUGCUUGACAUGUGAGUAGACCUCCAUGCAAGUACUCUUGUUCGAUUGUGUUCAGUGAACUCAUUCCCUUAAUGAGCACCUACAUACUUGUCUUAGUGUCACUACACAAAUGGGAUGAGACUUUCCAUUCUUCCAUUUGAAGCGGACACAGUAUGUACCGGUCUAAGCAUUGUCAGUGUCCCUCUGACAAUCCAAUGACCAGGAACCUUUUUGGACAUAGUGGUUAUGUGAAGAAGGUCUCUGUAGUCUAACAUCAUUAGAUUACUUCUUCAAUCG
rnacentral:lncRNA from 1 species